GGUUAAGCGACUAAGCGUACACGGUGGAUGCCCUGGCAGUCAGAGGCGAUGAAGGACGUGCUAAUCUGCGAUAAGCGUCGGUAAGGUGAUAUGAACCGUUAUAACCGGCGAUUUCCGAAUGGGGAAACCCAGUGUGUUUCGACACACUAUCAUUAACUGAAUCCAUAGGUUAAUGAGGCGAACCGGGGGAACUGAAACAUCUAAGUACCCCGAGGAAAAGAAAUCAACCGAGAUUCCCCCAGUAGCGGCGAGCGAACGGGGAGCAGCCCAGAGCCUGAAUCAGUGUGUGUGUUAGUGGAAGCGUCUGGAAAGGCGCGCGAUACAGGGUGACAGCCCCGUACACAAAAAUGCACAUGCUGUGAGCUCGAUGAGUAGGGCGGGACACGUGGUAUCCUGUCUGAAUAUGGGGGGACCAUCCUCCAAGGCUAAAUACUCCUGACUGACCGAUAGUGAACCAGUACCGUGAGGGAAAGGCGAAAAGAACCCCGGCGAGGGGAGUGAAAAAGAACCUGAAACCGUGUACGUACAAGCAGUGGGAGCACGCUUAGGCGUGUGACUGCGUACCUUUUGUAUAAUGGGUCAGCGACUUAUAUUCUGUAGCAAGGUUAACCGAAUAGGGGAGCCGAAGGGAAACCGAGUCUUAACUGGGCGUUAAGUUGCAGGGUAUAGACCCGAAACCCGGUGAUCUAGCCAUGGGCAGGUUGAAGGUUGGGUAACACUAACUGGAGGACCGAACCGACUAAUGUUGAAAAAUUAGCGGAUGACUUGUGGCUGGGGGUGAAAGGCCAAUCAAACCGGGAGAUAGCUGGUUCUCCCCGAAAGCUAUUUAGGUAGCGCCUCGUGAAUUCAUCUCCGGGGGUAGAGCACUGUUUCGGCAAGGGGGUCAUCCCGACUUACCAACCCGAUGCAAACUGCGAAUACCGGAGAAUGUUAUCACGGGAGACACACGGCGGGUGCUAACGUCCGUCGUGAAGAGGGAAACAACCCAGACCGCCAGCUAAGGUCCCAAAGUCAUGGUUAAGUGGGAAACGAUGUGGGAAGGCCCAGACAGCCAGGAUGUUGGCUUAGAAGCAGCCAUCAUUUAAAGAAAGCGUAAUAGCUCACUGGUCGAGUCGGCCUGCGCGGAAGAUGUAACGGGGCUAAACCAUGCACCGAAGCUGCGGCAGCGACGCUUAUGCGUUGUUGGGUAGGGGAGCGUUCUGUAAGCCUGCGAAGGUGUGCUGUGAGGCAUGCUGGAGGUAUCAGAAGUGCGAAUGCUGACAUAAGUAACGAUAAAGCGGGUGAAAAGCCCGCUCGCCGGAAGACCAAGGGUUCCUGUCCAACGUUAAUCGGGGCAGGGUGAGUCGACCCCUAAGGCGAGGCCGAAAGGCGUAGUCGAUGGGAAACAGGUUAAUAUUCCUGUACUUGGUGUUACUGCGAAGGGGGGACGGAGAAGGCUAUGUUGGCCGGGCGACGGUUGUCCCGGUUUAAGCGUGUAGGCUGGUUUUCCAGGCAAAUCCGGAAAAUCAAGGCUGAGGCGUGAUGACGAGGCACUACGGUGCUGAAGCAACAAAUGCCCUGCUUCCAGGAAAAGCCUCUAAGCAUCAGGUAACAUCAAAUCGUACCCCAAACCGACACAGGUGGUCAGGUAGAGAAUACCAAGGCGCUUGAGAGAACUCGGGUGAAGGAACUAGGCAAAAUGGUGCCGUAACUUCGGGAGAAGGCACGCUGAUAUGUAGGUGAAGCGACUUGCUCGUGGAGCUGAAAUCAGUCGAAGAUACCAGCUGGCUGCAACUGUUUAUUAAAAACACAGCACUGUGCAAACACGAAAGUGGACGUAUACGGUGUGACGCCUGCCCGGUGC
rnacentral:rRNA from 1 species